UACGGAGGGUGCAAACGUUAUCCGGAUUCACUGGGUUUAAAGGGAGCGUAGGUGGGUUGGUAAGUCAGUGGUGAAAUCCCCGAGCUUAACUUGGGAACUGCCAUUGAUACUAUCAGUCUUGAAUACUGUGGAGGUUAGCGGAAUAUGUCAUGUAGCGGUGAAAUGCUUAGAUAUGACAUAGAACACCAAUUGCGAAGGCAGCUGGCUACACAAUUAUUGACACUGAGGCUCGAAAGCGUGGGGAUCAAACAGG
rnacentral:rRNA from 1 species